GGGGUGCUCGAAUGGCGAACGGGUGAGUAACACGUGAGUAACCUGCCCUUGACUUUGGGAUAACUUCAGGAAACUGGGGCUAAUACCGGAUAGGAGCUCCUGCUGCAUGGUGGGGGUUGGAAAGUUUCGGCGGUUGGGGAUGGACUCGCGGCUUAUCAGCUUGUUGGUGGGGUAGUGGCUUACCAAGGCUUUGACGGGUAGCCGGCCUGAGAGGGUGACCGGCCACAUUGGGACUGAGAUACGGCCCAG
rnacentral:rRNA from 1 species